rnacentral:rRNA from 1 species
GAUGAACGCUAGCGGCAGGCUUAAUACAUGCAAGUCGAGGGGCAGCACGGGUAGCAAUACCUGGUGGCGACCGGCAAACGGGUGCGGAACACGUACGCAACCUUCCCAUAACUGGUGAAUAGCCCUCCGAAAGGAGGAUUAAUACACCGUUAACAUAAUGAAGUGGCAUCACUUUAUUAUUAUAGGCAGCAAUGCGGUUUUGGAUGGGCGUGCGCCUGAUUAGGUAGUUGGCGGGGUAACGGCCCACCAAGCCUGCGAUCAGUAACUGGUGUGAGAGCACGACCAGUCACACGGGCACUGAGACACGGGCCCGACUCCUACGGGAGGCAGCAGUAAGGAAUAUUGGUCAAUGGACGCAAGUCUGAACCAGCCAUGCCGCGUGAAGGAUGAAGGUCCUCUGGAUUGUAAACUUCUUUUAUCUGGGACGAAAAAAGGGAAUUCUUUCCCACUUGACGGUACCAGAAGAAUAAGCACCGGCUAACUCCGUG